rnacentral:rRNA from 1 species
AGUGAACGCUGGCGGUAGGCCUAACACAUGCAAGUCGAACGGCAGCACAGUAAGAGCUUGCUCUUACGGGUGGCGAGUGGCGGACGGGUGAGGAAUACAUCGGAAUCUACUUUUUCGUGGGGGAUAACGUAGGGAAACUUACGCUAAUACCGCAUACGACCUACGGGUGAAAGCAGGGGAUCUUCGGACCUUGCGCGAUUGAAUGAGCCGAUGUCGGAUUAGCUAGUUGGCGGGGUAUAGGCCCACCAAGGCGACGAUCCGUAGCUGGUCUGAGAGGAUGAUCAGCCACACUGGAACUGAGACACGGUCCAGACUCCUACGGGAGGCAGCAGUGGGGAAUAUUGGACAAUGGGCGCAAGCCUGAUCCAGCCAUACUGCGUGGGUGAAGAAGGCCUUCGGGUUGUAAAGCCCUUUUGUUGGGAAAGAAAAGCAGCAGGUUAAUACCCCGCUGUUCUGACGGUACCCAAAGAAUAAGCACCGGCUAACUUCGUG